UGGCGCUGUAGUAGUUCUGUUUAUUGUGUUAGAAGUUGGAAAUUUAGAAUUGAAAGAGUAAAAUUGAGGAAAAUUACAGAAAUUCGAAUAAGUUGCACGAUAUUCUUUGAUGUUAAAUGCACUUUUUCGUUAUAGUUAAUCGAGUGAUAAUAGCCAGAGAUUGUUUAGCCGUCGUUAAAUAUCAUUGUUCGGCAUGUGAUUGAUUGUGAUAUGUAUACAGACUAUAAUUACUCUAUAAAGGUGCAGACUAGUAAAAGAAAUAAUUAAUUAUGAUAUUUAUGUAUGAAUCCGUUUCUGUGGCUAGUGAUGACGAAGAGCAGUCGACUUACACUGAAAUUGUGAAGAAACCGUCGCGGGAUAAGGAUGAAGAGAAUGCCUCCAGUUUCGUUGACUAUGUCGUCAAUAGGGAGAUUGGGAGACGUGUAAAGAGUAAUUGCAAUUUCAGGGCACACGGUAUACGUCAUAUGCUAUCCUGCGGCAUCUUGAGGGAGUGUGAGAUCCCUCUGGGAAGGCUCAAUAAAGUCUUCUGUUCUAAAUGGCUCUCCGACCGCCAGAUUGUGUUCGGGACCAAGUGCAAUAAGUUAAUGGUUCUUGACGUUACCACUAACAAGAUGGUGCAGAUUCCUAGUUUGAUGGGCAGUGAAGACAAAGUGCAACCAGAGAAUCCUUGCGGCAUGCAUGCUUUGGAGAUCAAUCCAUCUAGGACAAUGCUUGCUACUGGUGGUCUGAAUGCCAACGAUCUGGCAGUCUAUAAAUUGCCAACUUUUGAUCCUGUCUGUGUGGGAGAGGAAGCUCACAGGGAUUGGAUAUUUGAUAUAACGUGGAUUGAUGAUGAGUUUUUAGUUACUGGUUCGAGAGAUACGUCACUGGCAUUAUGGAGGGUUAAGGAAAGUGAAACAAUUAAUCCUGUAUGUGAUAUUUAUCCUUCGCAUCAUAUCAUGUCCCCGUUGUGUGUCAAAACCUGUAGAAAUGCAGAGAAAAUCAGAGCACUCCUAUACAAUUCUGAAGAAGAGAUUUUAGUAGCACUGUCAUUGAAUGGAUUUCUGCAUCUCUGGGAUCUACAGUCAUUCCAUCAGAAAUUUUCCUGCAAACUUCCAUUCUUUCAAGAAACAGUUUGCAUGACUCAAAAUUACGAACACAAACUCUAUGCCGUCGGAUCACGCUCUCACAUCACUCUUCUGGAUGUUCAGACUCUGGAACCUGUCCAGAAAAUCACGGCCAAGUAUCAGGGUUGUGGCGUGAGGUCAUUGAGUUUUUCUGGAGAUCUCCUGACCGUCGGAACCGGAAUCGGCAUCCUGAUGUUUUAUGACGUCAGGGCGGGGCGUUACCUGGAAGACUCGGGCGGAAGCCGCCCAGCCGUGCUGAGAGCGACCCGGGGAUGGGUGUAUCCGGACGAAAAUUAUCGAGAGGUGUUCUUCAGUCUAGAGUACAAUCCUGCCAUCUACACUCACUGUUAUGAUGCUUCGGGGACAAGACUGUUUACGGCGGGUGGCCCUCUACCUGCCAGCCUUCAGGGAAACUACGCAAGCAUGUGGCAGUGAUGCCGGUAGUAAUAUAGCCAUAAAAUUUUAUUUAGUGUACAAAGAAAUUUCACCCUUUUUUAAAUAAUAAUUUUUCAUCACUCUUUUUGAAACAAUACAUAAAUUGUGUGAACUAAAUGGUGUCUUCCCACAAUCAUUUGUCAAUUUGAACCGAUAUUUUGUUUUGUUUUUAUUGAUAUUGCAGCCAUUAUUUCUGCAACAAAUUGUGGUGAUCUGUUAUUAUUAUUAUUAAAUUAUUCUUUGACAAUGUUUUUACGAGUAAAAUCUGAAUAACAUCUUAUUUUUCUUGGAAUGUGUAUUUAAGAAUUAAUUUUAAUCUUGCAAACUGACAUAAACAUGGUGAAAAUCAUAGUUGUCAAAGAUUACUUUAAUAUCAUCGGCACUAUUUUUUUACAGGAUAUCAUUGACAUCCAAAGAAAUCUGUUUCCUAUUUAGACAUAUGUAUGUCAGAGUAGUGAUAUAAUUUUUAGUUUGUUUGUUUUGUAUUGAGUUAGAUUAAUAAAUUCUUUAUAAUUAA
rnacentral:misc_RNA from 1 species